UACGGGAGGCAGCAGUAGGGGAAUCUUCCGCAAUGGACGAAAGUCUGACGGAGCAACGCCGCGUGAACGAUGAAGGCUUUCGGGUCGUAAAGUUCUGUUGUUAGGGAGACAAGUACCGGAGUAACUGCCGGUACCUUGACGGUACCUAACCAGAAAGCCACGGCUAACUACGUGCCAGCAGCCGCGGUAAUACGUAGGUGGCAAGCGUUGUCCGGAAUUAUUGGGCGUAAAGCGCGCGCAGGUGGUUCUUUUAAGUCUGAUGUGAAAGCCCACGGCUCAACCGUGGAGGGUCAUUGGAAACUGGGGAACUUGAGUGCAGAAGAGGAAAGUGGAAUUCCACGUGUAGCGGUGAAAUGCGUAGAGAUGUGGAGGAACACCAGUGGCGAAGGCGACUUUUCUGGUCUGUAACUGACACUGAGGCGCGAAAGCGUGGGGAGCGAACAGGGAUUAGAUACC
rnacentral:rRNA from 1 species